rnacentral:miRNA from 1 species
UUGACAAUAUAUGUCCAUGUGAUCUAUGUUUGAUUAUAUAUAUAUUUGUGCUGUUUGUCAUCAAUUACCAAAAAGGGGGAGAUUGAAGCAUCUAGGCCCCCAUUGUUAA